rnacentral:rRNA from 1 species
GGCGAUCAGAUACCGCCCUAGUUCUGACCGUAAACGAUGCCAACUAGCGAUCCGCCAGUCGACUCAUCGCUCUGGUGGGGAGCUUCCCGGAAACGAAAGUCUUCCGGUUCCGGGGGAAGUAUGGUUGCAAAGCUGAAACUUAAAGGAAUUGACGGAAGGGCACCACCAGGAGUGGAGCCUGCGGCUUAAUUUGACUCAACACGGGGAAACUCACCCGGCCCGGACACCGUAAGGAUUGACAGAUUGAUAGCUUUUUCAUGAUUCGGUGGAUGGUGGUGCAUGGCCGUUCUUAGUUCGUGGAGCGAUUUGUCUGGUUUAUUCCGAUAACGAGCGAGACUCUGGCCUACUAAAUAGUUGACGCAUUGCCACUGUGCGCACAACUUCUUAGAGGGAUUUUCGGUGUUUUCAACAGCACGAAAUUGAGCAAUAACAGGUCUGUGAUGCCCUUAGAUGUCCGGGGCUGCACGCGCGCUACACUGGCAAACGCAACGUGCCUGUCCUGCCCCGAAAGGAGCGGGUAAACCCCUGAAAUUUUGCCGUGAUUGGGAUCGGACAUUGCAACUAUUGUCCGUGAACGAGGAAUUCCUUGUAGGGGCGAGUCAUCAACUCGUCCCGAAUACGUCCCUGCCCUUGUA